UGUGAGCUCGAUGAGUAGGGCGGGACACGUGGUAUCCUGUCUGAAUAUGGGGGGACCAUCCUCCAAGGCUAAAUACUCCUGACUGACCGAUAGUGAACCAGUACCGUGAGGGAAAGGCGAAAAGAACCCCGGCGAGGGGAGUGAAAAAGAACCUGAAACCGUGUACGUACAAGCAGUGGGAGCACGCUUAGGCGUGUGACUGCGUACCUUUUGUAUAAUGGGUCAGCGACUUAUAUUCUGUAGCAAGGUUAACCGAAUAGGGGAGCCGAAGGGAAACCGAGUCUUAACUGGGCGUUAAGUUGCAGGGUAUAGACCCGAAACCCGGUGAUCUAGCCAUGGGCAGGUUGAAGGUUGGGUAACACUAACUGGAGGACCGAACCGACUAAUGUUGAAAAAUUAGCGGAUGACUUGUGGCUGGGGGUGAAAGGCCAAUCAAACCGGGAGAUAGCUGGUUCUCCCCGAAAGCUAUUUAGGUAGCGCCUCGUGAAUUCAUCUCCGGGGGUAGAGCACUGUUUCGGCAAGGGGGUCAUCCCGACUUACCAACCCGAUGCAAACUGCGAAUACCGGAGAAUGUUAUCACGGGAGACACACGGCGGGUGCUAACGUCCGUCGUGAAGAGGGAAACAACCCAGACCGCCAGCUAAGGUCCCAAAGUCAUGGUUAAGUGGGAAACGAUGUGGGAAGGCCCAGACAGCCAGGAUGUUGGCUUAGAAGCAGCCAUCAUUUAAAGAAAGCGUAAUAGCUCACUGGUCGAGUCGGCCUGCGCGGAAGAUGUAACGGGGCUAAACCAUGCACCGAAGCUGCGGCAGCGACGCUUAUGCGUUGUUGGGUAGGGGAGCGUUCUGUAAGCCUGUGAAGGUGUGCUGUGAGGCAUGCUGGAGGUAUCAGAAGUGCGAAUGCUGACAUAAGUAACGAUAAAGCGGGUGAAAAGCCCGCUCGCCGGAAGACCAAGGGUUCCUGUCCAACGUUAAUCGGGGCAGGGUGAGUCGACCCCUAAGGCGAGGCCGAAAGGCGUAGUCGAUGGGAAACAGGUUAAUAUUCCUGUACUUGGUGUUACUGCGAAGGGGGGACGGAGAAGGCUAUGUUGGCCGGGCGACGGUUGUCCCGGUUUAAGCGUGUAGGCUGGUUUUCCAGGCAAAUCCGGAAAAUCAAGGCUGAGGCGUGAUGACGAGGCACUACGGUGCUGAAGCAACAAAUGCCCUGCUUCCAGGAAAAGCCUCUAAGCAUCAGGUAACAUCAAAUCGUACCCCAAACCGACACAGGUGGUCAGGUAGAGAAUACCAAGGCGCUUGAGAGAACUCGGGUGAAGGAACUAGGCAAAAUGGUGCCGUAACUUCGGGAGAAGGCACGCUGAUAUGUAGGUGAAGUCCCUUGCGGAUGGAGCUGAAAUCAGUCGAAGAUACCAGCUGGCUGCAACUGUUUAUUAAAAACACAGCACUGUGCAAACACGAAAGUGGACGUAUACGGUGUGACGCCUGCCCGGUGCCGGAAGGUUAAUUGAUGGGGUCAGCGCAAGCGAAGCUCUUGAUCGAAGCCCCGGUAAACGGCGGCCGUAACUAUAACGGUCCUAAGGUAGCGAAAUUCCUUGUCGGGUAAGUUCCGACCUGCACGAAUGGCGUAAUGAUGGCCAGGCUGUCUCCACCCGAGACUCAGUGAAAUUGAACUCGCUGUGAAGAUGCAGUGUACCCGCGGCAAGACGGAAAGACCCCGUGAACCUUUACUAUAGCUUGACACUGAACAUUGAGCCUUGAUGUGUAGGAUAGGUGGGAGGCUUUGAAGUGUGGACGCCAGUCUGCAUGGAGCCGACCUUGAAAUACCACCCUUUAAUGUUUGAUGUUCUAACGU
rnacentral:rRNA from 1 species